rnacentral:rRNA from 1 species
AAGGCCCUGCUUGCAGGGUACUCGAGUGGCGAACGGGUGAGUAACACGUGGGUGAUCUGCCCUGCACUUCGGGAUAAGCCUGGGAAACUGGGUCUAAUACCGGAUAGGAGCCAUUUUUAGUGUGAUGGUUGGAAAGUUUUUUCGGUGUAGGAUGAGCUCGCGGCCUAUCAGCUUGUUGGUGGGGUAAUGGCCUACCAAGGCGGCGACGGGUAGCCGGCCUGAGAGGGUGGACGGCCACAUUGGGACUGAGAUACGGCCCAGACUCCUACGGGAGGCAGCAGUGGGGAAUAUUGCACAAUGGGCGCAAGCCUGAUGCAGCGACGCCGCGUGGGGGAUGACGGCCUUCGGGUUGUAAACUCCUUUCGCUAGGGACGAAGCUUUUUGUGACGGUACCUAGAUAAGAAGCACCGGCUAACUACGUGCCAGCAGCCGCGGUAAUACGUAGGGUGCGAGCGUUGUCCGGAAUUACUGGGCGUAAAGGGCUCGUAGGUGGUUUGUCGCGUCGUCUGUGAAAUUCCGGGGCUUAACUCCGGGCGUGCAGGCGAUACGGGCAUAACUUGAGUACUGUAGGGGUAACUGGAAUUCCUGGUGUAGCGGUGAAAUGCGCAGAUAUCAGGAGGAACACCGAUGGCGAAGGCAGGUUACUGGGCAGUUACUGACGCUGAGGAGCGAAAGCAU